rnacentral:lncRNA from 1 species
UCCAGAUGAACAAGGGGUCACAUCCCUUUCGCGACAAGAGGAUGCCUCCUCGACCAAACUACGACUACUCGCGACCAACUCACAGAGCUCGAAGCUAUAAAUACCAAGAAAGAGAACCUUCAAAGGGGACUUCUUAUUCUACACAACUCUGAAUAGAUAGAAAUGGAGGAAUAUGCUCCAUAAAGGGAGCGAUAAACAAGACUGCUGUAAGAUCCUGAACCUCUUCAAGGAGAGGCAGGUUAAGCUACUAUGAUAAAUAAAACUCCAUUUAUAUCAUUCUCCAAUUGAUUAUUCAUAUAUCUCAAAUUUGUCUUCCAAUUAGUGAUUAAUUAUGGUUGGCUAUGAUUUACCCUUGAUUUAUUUCGAUUGAUUUGCUCGGGACGUAUUCGAUAACUUUUAAGUCAAACAAAGCACACAAUUUCAUUUUUUUGAAUCGAACAAUUUCAACUCAAAAUAUAACAAAUUCAUCAAAAUUAUCACAUGAAAGAUCGCAUAGGACAAAAUCAAGGAAUAAAAGGAUAAGACAGGAAUGGAACUUUGUUAGCAAAUCAUUUCAAUUAAACAGAGUGUUCGGCUGAAACUUGUACGGCAACCAUGGAUAAGUUGCAAAAGAAACCACCAACUGGAUUUGAACCCAAAAAUUUACUCAAGAUGGAAACUGUGCAACGGACUUGAUGGAACACGACUCUUCAACGAUGACUGAAACGGAUGACUGUUGCCACUGGAAUUUUCGCCGAGAAAACUGAGUUCAUCAGCAAAGAAGGAAUUGAUGUACGGUUGCUAUGGAUGAAGAUUUACGACGUGGUCGGCGAUAGCUUCAAGCUGGUUUUCAUACGAUUUCAGGUGUAAAACUAUGUUAUCAUUGGAGCAUGGACAAGUUAAAGGAUAACAAUAAUUGUAAAUAUCUCUUCAGUUUUUAAAAAAUUUGCGACUAUUCA